rnacentral:misc_RNA from 1 species
GAACGCACAUUGCGCCCAUUAGUAUUCUAGUGGGCAUGCCUGUUCGAGCGUCAUUUCAACCCUUAAGCCCUCGUUGCUUAGUGUUGGGAGCCUACAGCGAUGUAGCUUCCUAAAGUUAGUGGCGGAGUCGGUUCACACUCUAGGCGUAGUAAAUUUUAUCUCGUCUCUGUAGUUGGAUCGUCCCCUGCCGUAAAACACCCCAAUUUCUAAAGGUUGACCUCGGAUCAGGUAGGAAUACCCGCUGAACUU